CUCCAUACAAACACUACACAGAAACUGGAAAGACCAAUGACGAAGUCACAAUGGGAGGAUUCCUACCAAUGACAUCAAAGAGAAGACCACUCUCAAAAACAACUGAUAAUUUGAAUAUUGUUUUUGUUGUUGACGCCUGAUCUUUCUACCCAGUACUGUCCCUUACAUAUAAGGCCGUUAAGACUUUAUAAGCUCGCAGCCCAACGGGAAAUUAUCAUUCCGGUUGUCUUGGAGCCGAGAAAAGACAUACAACAAAAUAUCAUUGAUCACGUUUAAUCAAAAUUAAGGUUUUAGCAAACAAAACAAAAAGGAAUUGAAUCAGAAUGAACACGUUGGUAUCGUCCAUCUUGCUGGCUGCUAUCCUGUUUGCAUUCGCUUUUUCUUUGCUAUCCGCCCAAUUGUUAGAUUCAUCCGAGUCAUUGGAUUCAGACUCAAGACAAAGUUCAGAAAUGGAAUGUUUUAACCAGUGUGUCACAACCAGGGCCUGCGGUACGAACCUUACCUGUUUGUUCAACUGUGGCAAUCUUUGUGAUUAAUUAAUUGAGCUUGUACAUUCCUAAACCAUGAGACAUUUUAUUAAAAUUUUAAUUGUAUAUAGAAAUUAAUGUUUAUUAAAACA